AACUAGGGUCGACCCAUACGCUUCCCACAACAAAACACCAAAUGGCCAACUCCCACCGGAGCACAAAACGGAGACGCCGUGGACUGAUCACACUACCACGGAAGGUGUCAUGCCUCGGUGCCAAGAGGACAUGCCUGUGGUACCCCCACAGGUGGUUAUAGCUCAGGUAUACCAUACGGUAUUCUAACAAAGAUAUAAUGUCAC
rnacentral:lncRNA from 1 species